GUAGUCCACGCUGUAAACGAUGAGUACUAGGUGUUGGGGGUAUCGACCCCCUCAGUGCCGAAGCUAACGCGAUAAGUACUCCGCCUGGGGACUACGGCCGCAAGGCUAAAACUCAAAGGAAUUGACGGGGCCCGCACAAGCAGCGGAGCGUGUGGUUUAAUUCGACGCAACGCGAAGAACCUUACCUGGGCUUGACAUGCGUGUGGUACGAGUGGGAAACCAUGAGGACCCGCAAGGGGAGCACGCACAGAUGCUGCAUGGCUGUCGUCAGCUCGUGCCGUGAGGUGUUGGGUUAAG
rnacentral:rRNA from 1 species